CCUUCGAUAGCUCAGUUGGAAGAGCGUAAGACUGUAAUUGGCUACGUAAUCAUGCGUGCAUCAUGUGAUCUUAAUGUCGCUGGUUCGAUCCCGGCUCGAAGGA